rnacentral:sRNA from 1 species
GCCAAAUCGUUCCAGGAUAUGGCUGACCGCUGCUUGCUUGUCUUACAUCUGGAAGUGAGGGUUCACUGUUUCCACUAUCUUAUCCCUCUUGCAAAGGAGGGGAACUAUGCCAUUGUGGCUAAUGUGGAAAGUAUGGAUUAUGACCCCCUGGUGGUCAAGCUCAACAAAGAUAUCAGCGCCAUUGAAGAGGCCAUGAGCGCCAGCCUUCAGCAGCACAAGUUCCAGUAUAUCUUCGAAGGCCUGGGCCACCUGAUCUCCUGCAUCCUCAUUAAUGGUGCCCAGUACUUCAGGCGCAUCAGUGAGUCUGGCAUCAAGAAAAUGUGUAGGAACAUUUUUGUUCUUCAGCAGAAUUUGACCAACAUCACCAUGUCGCGGGAGGCAGACCUGGACUUUGCAAGGUAGGAGGGAAAACUGGGUUUAGUUUCUUAUGCCAAAGCUAAGACCUCGUUGCCUGUGAAGUCAUUUUUAAAAAUAGACUCUUGGUGCAGAAAAAGCUUAGUUU